rnacentral:misc_RNA from 1 species
AAAUUAUCAGAGCAAAUAUUUUGUUAAUUCAACUGCCUUUGCUUUGGACUUGGGGGCCUGCAGAUUUCACAGUCUGCUCCUCUUAAACGCAUUAGCUGGAUUCUCAGUGAGCUUGGUUCCACUCGGCGUGAUAAGUAUCACUCGCUGAGGACACCCGUUGAAAAAGGUGGCCAGGCUUGCGGAUGAACCGCUUCCAACGGUCUAUUGACUUAGACAAUGAAUUUACG